GCCUAUAGCUCAGUUGGUAGAACAUGAAACUUUUAAUCUCAGGGUAAUGGGUUCAAGCCCCAUGUUGGGCG